rnacentral:lncRNA from 1 species
GAGCGUUGGAUUUGCGAUGCGGGGCGUCCAGGAGGAGUCAACCCUGUCAUUUAGCUCUCUAGCUCUGGGCGUAGACUGGCAGGGAAGCUGAGGAUUUUCCCAGCAUGCCACAGGCCAGAGUGGGCCGAACCUCGCCACGAGAGCAACUGACAGAACCUGUAGUCUGACACUGAUAUGGUGGCAUCAGAUGGACCAGGACAGUCCAGAACCAGAACCAAUGCCAUACCACUACUGGAGAACAAGCCGGACCUCACAGUUCUAGAAGCAGGUCGACGGCUGACAGCUCAGCGUCACGGAGGAAACACUCAGAACCAGUGA